UACGUAGGGGGCAAGCGUUGUCCGGAAUCAUUGGGCGUAAAGAGCGCGUAGGCGGUCCGGUAAGUCGGUUGUGAAAACUGGGGGCUCAACCCUCAGAGGCCGACCGAUACUGUCGGGCUAGAGUCCGGAAGAGGCGAGUGGAAUUCCUGGUGUAGCGGUGAAAUGCGCAGAUAUCAGGAGGAACACCAAUGGCGAAGGCAGCUCGUUGGGACGGUACUGACGCUGAGGCGCGAAAGCGUGGGGAGCAAACAGG
rnacentral:rRNA from 1 species